GAAGCGGCAACAGCUCAAAUUUGAAAUCUGGCGCAAGCCCGAGUUGUAAUUUGUAGAGGAUGCUUCUGGGCAGCGGCUAGUCUAAGUCCUUUGGAACAGGGCGUCACAGAGGGUGAGAAUCCCGUAUGUGAUUAGCAUGCACCCGUCACGUAGCUCCUUCGACGAGUCGAGUUGUUUGGGAAUGCAGCUCUAAAUGGGAGGUAAAUUCCUUCUAAAGCUAAAUACCGGCCAGAGACCGAUAGCGCACAAGUAGAGUGAUCGAAAGAUGAAAAGCACUUUGAAAAGAGAGUUAAAAAGCACGUGAAAUUGUUGAAAGGGAAGCGCAUACAACCAGACUUGCCGGCGGUGUUCCGCCGGUCUUUUGACCGGUCUACUCGCCGCCGGCAGGCCAGCAUCGUUUGGGCGCGCCAGAUAAAGGUUUGGGGCGGUGGUUCGCCGUUGCCCCUUACACAAUACGGCGCCGCCCGAGCGAGGUCCGCGCUCCGGCAAGGAUGCUGGCGUAAUGGUUGCCUGCGGCCCGUCUUGAAACACGGACCAAGGAGUCUAACAUCUAUGCGAGUGUUCGGGUGUCAAACCCCUACGCGUAAUGAAAGUGAACGGAGGUGGGAACGCAAGUGCACCAUCGACCGAUCCUGAUGUCUUCGGAUGGAUUUGAGUAAGAGCAUAGCUGUUGGGACCCGAAAGAUGGUGAACUAUGCCUGAAUAGGGUGAAGCCAGAGGAAACUCUGGUGGA
rnacentral:rRNA from 1 species